rnacentral:tRNA from 1 species
UAAGAGAAUAGCUUAAAUUGGUAAAGCUUUAGUUUUCAAAACUAAGUUUGUAGGUUCGAAUCCUUCUUCUCUUGA